CUACCUCAAAUUAGGUGAGAUUACCCGCUAAAUUUAAGCAUAUUAUUAAGCGGAGGAAAAGAAACUAACAAGGAUUUCCUUAGUAGCUGCGAGCGAACAGGAAGAAGCCCAGCACUGAAUCAUUAGUAUUUGUAUACUAAUGAAAUGUAGUGUUUAAGAAGGUUUUAUUAUUCUAAAGUAUUUUAAUUUGUUCAAGUUUAUCUUGAAUGGGGCUAUGGUCCAUAGAAGGUGCCAGGCCUGUAGAAACAAAUUAAUAUUUUAGAUAAACCUUUCUUUAGAGUGCAACCUUAAGUGGGUGGUAAACUCCAUCUAAGGCUAAAUAUAACCACGAGACCGAUAGUAAACAAGUACCGUGAGGGAAAGUUGAAAAGAACUUUGAAGAGAGAGUUCAAAAGUACGUGAAACCGUUUAGGGGUAAACGGAAAAGAACUGAAAAUCCGAAAAGGGAGAUUCACGUCUUCUCAUUAGAUAGCAUAAUUAUAAUUUAGGAUAACUAAUGGGCUAUACAAUUUAUUGUACUAGUACUAUUAAUUACCUAAUUAUAUUAUGACUAGCUAUGGUGGACCGCACUUCUCUCUAAGUAGGACGUCGUGACUCGCUAGUUUUAUAUUUAAAUUCAAAAUCAUACUUUAUUUAGACUUGUUAUAUAUAUUUUUUUUAAAAAGUUAUAUAACAAAUGGUAUGUUUUUUGGAUAAAUUAACUGGCGGUAUAAAACGACAAUGAGAGUCGCUUUUUUUUUAAAAAGCGUAUGAACUUGUAUUAUUUUUAAUAGUGUUACUAGUAAGUGAAACUAUGUUUUCUCGGAUUAGUAAUCUAUUGAUUAUUAAUAUUUUGUUUAUACAGACUCAUAACAUUGGUCGACGGCGCUACAGUUUCAGUAACUUUUCCGACCCGUCGAAACACCCAAGGAGUCUAACAUGUGCGCAAGUCAUUGGGUUAGUAAACCUAAAGGCGAAACAAAAGUAAAGUAAGCAAUGCUUUAAAAUAAGGAGGAUGGUUAUUUAAUUUUUUUUAAAUAGCCCGCACUCCUGGGGCGUCUGUUACUCAUUGCGAGUUAAGGCGCACCUAGAGCGUACACGUUGGGACCCGAAAGAUGGUGAACUAUGCUUGGCCAGGAUGAAGUCAGGGGAAACCCUGAUGGAGGUCCGUAGCGAUUCUGACGUGCAAAUCGAUCGUCAGAGCUAAGUAUAGGGGCGAAAGACCAAUCGAACUAUCUAGUAGCUGGUUCCCUCCGAAGUUUCCCUCAGGAUAGCUGGUGCCAAUGAUGAUAUUGAGUCUCAUCUGGUAAAGCGAAUGAUUAGAGGCAUUGGGGCCGAAACGACCUCAACCUAUUCUCAAACUUUAAAUGGAUGAGAGCCCUGGCUUGCUUAAAAUUGAAGCCAGGGAGUUGGAUCUAGGUGCCAAGUGGGCCAAUUUUGGUAAUGUGGGAUGAACCAAACGCAAAGUUAAGGCGCCUAAAUCGACGCUCAUUAGACACCAUGAAAGGCGUUGGUUGCUUAAGACAGCAGGACGGUGGCCAUGGAAGUCGGAAUCCGCUAAGGAGUGUGUAACAACUCACCUGCCGAAGCAACUAGCCCUGAAAAUGGAUGGCGCUGUAGCGUCGUGCCUAUACUUUGCCGUCAACGGCAAAUAAAGUAUAACAAAUUUAUUUUGUUAUGCUAUUAAGCCUUGACGAGUAGGAGGGUCGCAGCGAUGAGCGCAGAAGGGUCUGGGCGUAAGCCUGCCUGGAGCCGUCGCUGGUGCAGAUCUUGGUGGUAGUAGCAAAUACUCCAGCGAGGCCCUGGAGGGCUGUUGUGGAGAAGGGUUUCUUGUGAACAGCUGUUGCACAAGAGUCAGUCGAUCCUAAGCUCUAGGAGAAAUCCAAUGUUAAUUAGAUACCAAAAAAAUCUGGAUGGUAUCAUAAGAGCGAAAGGGAAUCCGGUUCCUAUUCCGGAACCCGGUAGCGGAACCGUUCCAAAUCGUGUCCUCAUAUGGACUCGUCGGGGUGACCCAAAAAGACCCGGAGAAGCCGUUAGAAUGUUUGGAGAGAGUUGUCUCUUCUCUAUAAGCGUUCGAGUUCCCUGGAAUCCUCUAGCAGGGAGAUAGGGUUUGGAACGCGAAGAGCAUCGCAGUUACGGCGGUGUCCAAAACAUUCUUUCGGACCAUGAAAAUUCGGGAGAGGGCAACGAGGAACACCGCGCCGGAUCGUACCCAUAUCCGCAGCAGGUCUCCAAGGUGAAUAGCCUCUAGUCGAUAGAAUAAUGUAGGUAAGGGAAGUCGGCAAGUUCGAUCCGUAACUUCGGGAUAAGGAUUGGCUCUGAGGAUCGUGGCGUGCUGGGCUUGGUCGGGAAGUGGAGCGGUGUCAAGUGCCGGGCCUGGGUAAGGUAUUUUUAAUACUUGAGCUCGGUCCCGUGCCUUGGCCACCCACGGAUCUUCCUUGCAAUAGGUACAUUAUUGUCUAGUUGCCAGUCUUUGAUUGGUAAACGGGUAUUGUCACCUUUUCGGCCGCCUUUUAACGAUCAACUCAGAACUGGCACGGACCAUGGGAAUUCGACUGUCUAAUUAAAACAGAGCAUUGCGAUGGCCCCAACGGGUGCUGACGCAAUGUGAUUUCUGCCCAGUGCUCUGAAUGUCAACGUGAAGAAAUUCAGAUAAGCGCGGGUAAACGGCGGGAGUAACUAUGACUCUCUUAAGGUAGCCAAAUGCCUCGUCAUCUAAUUAGUGACGCGCAUGAAUGGAUUAACGAAAUUCCCAUCUGUCCCUAUCUACUAUCUAGCGAAACCACUGCCAAGGGAACGGGCUUGGAAAAAUUAGCGGGGAAAGAAGACCCUGUUGAGCUUGACUCUAGUCUGAUACUGUAAGGGAACAUGAGAGGUGUAGCAUAAGUGGGAGAUAGUUUUACUAUCGUCAAUGAAAUACCACUACUCUCAUAGUUUCCUUACUUAUUCGAUGAGGCGGAAGGCGUCUGCUUAGGGUAUUUUACCCAAGUUAGACGGUAUUCUUGCGCCAAGCGUUAGGGUUGUCGAUUGUUCAGUGAAAAGCGUGUAAGCUUUAUACAUCAGUUAAGUGAAAUUGUUGUACAGUAAUUUAUAAUUGAAAUAAAAAAUAAAAUUAAGUGAUUAAAUAAUAAAGUUUGUGGAAAAGAAUAUUUUACAAGUUACACAAAUAAACAAUGCUAAUGAAAUGCUUUUCACGUCGUAGCUGAUAAUAUCGUCAACAGAUUCCCUAGCGUGAUCCGAUUCGAAGACACUAUCAGGCGGGGAGUUUGACUGGGGCGGUACAUCUGCCAAAAAAUAACGCAGGUGUCCUAAGGUCAGCUCAGCGAGGACAGAAACCUCGCGUAGAGCAAAAGGGCAAAUGCUGGCUUGAUCCCGAUGUUCAGUAUGCAUUGGGACUGCGAAAGCAUGGCCUAUCGAUCCUUUUAGCCUGAAGAGUUUUCAGCAAGAGGUAUCAGAAAAGUUACCACAGGGGUAACUGGCUUGUGGCAGCCAAGCGUUCAUAGCGACGUUGCUCUUUGAUCCUUCGAUGUCGGCUCUUCCUAUCAUUGCGAAGCAGAAUUCGCCAAGUGUCGGAUUGUUCACCCGCUAAUAGGGAACGUGAGCUGGGUUUAGACCGUCGCGAGACAGGUUAGUUUUACCCUACUAAUAAAAGUUAUUGCGUUAGUAAUCCUGCUCAGUACGAGAGGAACCGCAGGUUUGGACAUGUGGGUCAUGCACUCGGUCGACAGGCCGGUGGUGCGAUGCUACCAUCCAUGGGAUUAUACCUGAACGCCUCUAAGGUCGAAUCCCUUCUAAAUAUGCAAUAAUACUUUUAUGGGCCCCGUGAAGUCGAAAGGCUUCAAGCAAUGUGAAUUAUAUAGGUAAUCAGCAAUUAAGUUUGAUUAUCGCAUAUGCCUAUUGUAGUAGCUUAUUUUUGAUAAAUUAUUUAUUAUUAUAUAAAUAAUUUACAAUAUAAGUUUACAUAUAAUGGGUUACCCCUUUUGGGGAGUUCGAUGACGGGGCCCGGAAUAGUUCGUAGACGACCUAAACGCUGGGCGGGGUGUUGUACUCGGUUA
rnacentral:rRNA from 1 species